rnacentral:misc_RNA from 1 species
CCAGGUAAAAAGUUCUAAACAUAAUAAAAAUAAGAGGCAAUCUGCAGCUUUAUUCCUCCAAAAUUUGAAUUCUGAGGAAAAAACAAUCCUUACUGCUACAACUGAAAAUGCUUCUGAUGCUUGUAUUACAUGGUUAUAAACAUAACAUUCUAUGAAAGGAAAAGCAGGUUUAAAAGGAGGAAAUAUUCAGAAACCCUGCGAAGCAAUAGUCCGUGCAGUACCAGCAC